rnacentral:tRNA from 2 species
GGGUCCAUAGCUCAAUGGUCAGAGCAGUCGGCUCAUAACCGAUUGGUUCCAGGUUCGAGUCCUGGUGGAUCCA